UAGGGAAUCUUCCACAAUGGACGCAAGUCUGAUGGAGCAACGCCGCGUGAGUGAAGAAGGCUUUCGGGUCGUAAAACUCUGUUAUUGAAGAAGAACGUGUGUGACAGUAACUGGUCAUGCAGUGACGGUAUUCAAUCAGAAAGUCACGGCUAACUACGUGCCAGCAGCCGGCGGUAAUACGUAGGUGGCAAGCGUUGUCCGGAUUUAUUGGGCGUAAAGCGAGUGCAGGCGGUCUUUUAAGUCUGAUGUGAAAGCCUUCGGCUUAACCGAAGAAGGGCAUCGGAAACUGGGAGACUUGAGUGCAGAAGAGGAGAG
rnacentral:rRNA from 1 species